CUUGGACUUUUUAGUCUUGUGCCUCUCCGUAAGGUACUGUCUGAUUCUGAUCAUCUCUGAUUGUAGUUCAAUAAAAUGUCAAGGUUUGCAUGGUUUUGAUUCCAUCUCCCUGCAAUGUUUCGUGUAAGAAAUCUUGUUAGAAAUUUAAUUUAAGAGGUGAAGAAGACAUAUAACAAAAGUUAAAAGAAAACGUUGGUCGAAUCAGGAAUCAACACCACUGCAUUGUGCUUGAACAGUUAGAGCACCCACUGGGCAGCAGUGUCCUUUCUAUUAAAUUACGUAUGCUAUUCUGCGAAAUGCUUCUUUAAUUUUGAAAGUUCUCAGCAGCUAUAUUGUAUUAGUUUAUUGAGUUCUGGGAAUAUGCACCAUUGCCUUGCUACUCCGACUUCUUGUUGUGUUGAGUGGGAUUAAAAUAUCAAUUUGAUAAAUUUUGUUUUCUCUUUUAAAUGUAAUUUCAGGUUAUGGUAAUGGGUUAUAAGCUCACAUACCCUAGUGGAACUGCAACUGCCAUGUUAAUUAAUAGCUUCCACACAAAUACCGGCGCUGAACUUGCAAGGCAAGAGAUCCAUUAUUAUCUUCAUUUCUGUAUCUAAAUUCAUAAAGAUGCCACCC
rnacentral:lncRNA from 1 species